rnacentral:rRNA from 1 species
AAUCAACGCUGGCGGCGUGCCUCAGACAUGCAAGUCGAACGAUUAAAGCUCUCUUCGGAGAGUGCAUAGAGUGGCGCACGGGUGAGUAACACGUAAGUAAUCUACCUUCGAGUGGGGAAUAACCCGGGGAAACCCGAGCUAAUACCGCAUAAUGCAGCGGCAUCGCAAGAUGACAGUUGUUAAAGGAGCAAUCCGCUUGAAGAGGAGCUUGCGGCAGAUUAGCUAGUUGGUAAGGUAACGGCUUACCAAGGCUACGAUCUGUAUCCGGUCUAAGAGGACGGUCGGACACACUGACACUGAAUAACGGGUCAGACUCCUACGGGAGGCAG